GGUCCGUACUGACGCGUAGUUUGCAACACACGGUGGGCGCACGGAGAAGACCUAAAUAUAGUUAACACCAGUCAACAAAAGUUCUUAAAAGAUAAAACUUUCCACACAACGGAUCUCUUGGUUCUCGCAUCGAUGAAGAGCGCAGCGAAAUGCGAUACCUAGUGUGAAUUGCAGCCAUCGUGAAUCAUCGAGUUCUUGAACGCACAUUGCGCCCGUCGGUAUUCCGGCGGGCAUGCCUGUCUGAGCGUCGUUUCCUUCUUGCGGACUCCUCUUGAAAAAAAAUCUUUUUGGAGAGAGAGAGAGACAGCAGAGCUGGCCGUGCCACUGGCCCGGCCGAAAAGAAACGUUGCGGACGAAGCGAACUACAUCGGGACGCUUUGGCCGCCGAGCGAAAACACCAUUGAGCUCGACCUCAGAUCAGGUAGGAGUACCCGCUGAACUUAAGCAUAUCAAUAAGCGGAGGA
rnacentral:rRNA from 1 species